rnacentral:rRNA from 1 species
UACGUAGGUGACAAGCGUUGUCCGGAUUUACUGGGCGUAAAGAGCGCGCAGGCGGUCGUUCAAGUCGAGUGUGAAAGCCCCCGGCUCAACUGGGGAGGGUCAUUCGAUACUGAUCGACUCGAAGGCAGGAGAGGGGCGUGGAAUUCCGGGUGUAGUGGUGAAAUGCGUAGAGAUCCGGAGGAACCCCAGAGGCGAAGGCGGCGCCCUGGCUCGCAACUGACGCUCAGACACGACAGCAUGGGGAGCGAACGGG